rnacentral:rRNA from 1 species
UUUAUGGAGAGUUUGAUCCUGGCUCAGGAUGAACGCUGGCGGCGUGCCUAAUACAUGCAAGUCGAGCGAACGGACGAGAAGCUUGCUUCUCUGAUGUUAGCGGCGGACGGGUGAGUAACACGUGGAUAACCUACCUAUAAGACUGGGAUAACUUCGGGAAACCGGAGCUAAUACCGGAUAAUAUUUUGAACCGCAUGGUUCAAAAGUGAAAGACGGUCUUGCUGUCACUUAUAGAUGGAUCCGCGCUGCAUUAGCUAGUUGGUAAGGCAACGGCUUACCAAGGCAACGAUGCAUAGCCGACCUGAGAGGGUGAUCGGCCACACUGGAACUGAGACACGGUCCAGACUCCUACGGGAGGCAGCAGUAGGGAAUCUUCCGCAAUGGGCGAAAGCCUGACGGAGCAACGCCGCGUGAGUGAUGAAGGUCUUCGGAUCGUAAAACUCUGUUAUUAGGGAAGAACAUAUGUGUAAGUAACUGUGCACAUCUUGACGGUACCUAAUCAGAAAGCCACGGCUAACUACGUGCCAGCAGCCGCGGUAAUACGUAGGUGGCAAGCGUUAUCCGGAAUUAUUGGGCGUAAAGCGCGCGUAGGCGGUUUUUUAAGUCUGAUGUGAAAGCCCACGGCUCAACCGUGGAGGGUCAUUGGAAACUGGAAAACUUGAGUGCAGAAGAGGAAAGUGGAAUUCCAUGUGUAGCGGUGAAAUGCGCAGAGAUAUGGAGGAACACCAGUGGCGAAGGCGACUUUCUGGUCUGUAACUGACGCUGAUGUGCGAAAGCGUGGGGAUCAAACAGGAUUAGAUACCCUGGUAGUCCACGCCGUAAACGAUGAGUGCUAAGUGUUAGGGGGUUUCCGCCCCUUAGUGCUGCAGCUAACGCAUUAAGCACUCCGCCUGGGGAGUACGACCGCAAGGUUGAAACUCAAAGGAAUUGACGGGGACCCGCACAAGCGGUGGAGCAUGUGGUUUAAUUCGAAGCAACGCGAAGAACCUUACCAAAUCUUGACAUCCUUUGACAACUCUAGAGAUAGAGCUUUCCCCUUCGGGGGACAAAGUGACAGGUGGUGCAUGGUUGUCGUCAGCUCGUGUCGUGAGAUGUUGGGUUAAGUCCCGCAACGAGCGCAACCCUUAAGCUUAGUUGCCAUCAUUAAGUUGGGCACUCUAAGUUGACUGCCGGUGACAAACCGGAGGAAGGUGGGGAUGACGUCAAAUCAUCAUGCCCCUUAUGAUUUGGGCUACACGUGCUACAAUGGACAAUACAAAGGGCAGCGAAACCGCGAGGUCAAGCAAAUCCCAUAAAGUUGUUCUCAGUUCGGAUUGUAGUCUGCAACUCGACUACAUGAAGCUGGAAUCGCUAGUAAUCGUAGAUCAGCAUGCUACGGUGAAUACGUUCCCGGGUCUUGUACACACCGCCCGUCACACCACGAGAGUUUGUAACACCCGAAGCCGGUGGAGUAACCUUUUAGGAGCUAGCCGUCGAAGGUGGGACAAAUGAUUGGGGUGAAGUCGUAACAAGGUAGCCGUAUCGGAAGGUGCGGCUGGAUCACCUCCUUU